rnacentral:lncRNA from 1 species
UUUGGUCUAUUGUGGGAAUGAAGUGGUCAUAACUAUGAUUUUUGUUCAGGGAAAUUUAAGACUAUUUUUUGUUACCUGAAACCAAGUAAUCUCUAAUAAAGGACCUGGGUCAAAAUGGGCAUUAAUUUUAUCCUAUUCUAUUCUAUUCUUUUUUAAAGGUUUUUUUUUUUUUAAGGUUUUAUUUGCUUAUUCAUUUAUUUGAGAGAGUGAGUAUGGGAGAAGAAGAAGAAGACAGGAUCUGAAGCCGACUCGGUGCUGAGUGUGGAACCCGACAUGGGUCUUGAUUGCACAACCGGGAAACCAUGACCUGAGCCAAAACCAAGAGUUAGACAUUGAACCGACUGAGCCACCCAGGCACCCCUGGGCAGUGUGGAUUUUAGAGUUGACUGUGUACAUAACUGCUAUAACGAAGUAGUGGAAGCUGAAGGAAGGAAGAGGGAAUCAUAGACAGGAUUAAAAUGAACCUGAAAUCUUCUUUACUGCUGGGACAGCAAUUGAUGUCUUCUGUAUGGGUUUCGAUAGCACUGAUUUGGUAGGAAAAGUCCCACAAAGGCACUGCAGCAUUUAUGCAGCUUGGUUGGCUUCUCCAUUGGCUACUUGGAGCAUAUUGAUUGCCCAUGCCUCAGCCGACCUGUCACUGAAUGACUUUGCACCUUAGCACUGUACUAAUCCGCCAGGCCUCAGCUCUGUGAACAGCCAAGCACGGAAGGAAAACCCCACAGGAAACAGUUCACCCCAUUCUGGCCCUUGUUCCAAUCAAGCGGGAAUGUAUACUGUUUUAGCAUAUUUAUAUUUGUGUAUACACUGUACUCAUACACGCGAAGGCUCUGCUAGUUUCUGUUAAGACUUGUGGCUUCUAGGGCGCCUGGGUGGCUCAGUGGGUUAAGCCUCUGCCUUCAGCUCAGGUCAUGAUCUCAGGGUCCUGGGAUCGAGCCCCAUAUCGGGCUUCCUUCCCAGCGGGGAGCCUGCUUUCCCCCCUCUCUCUGUCUGUCUCUCUGCCUAAUUGUAAUCCCU